rnacentral:rRNA from 1 species
ACUCAAAUGAAUAGACGGGGGCCCGCACAAGCGGUGGAGCAUGUGGUUUAAUUCGAUGCAACGCGAAGAACCUUACCUAGAUUUGACAUCCCUAGACCGCCACAGAAAUGUGGUUUCCCCUUCGGGGGCUAGGAGACAGGUGCUGCAUGGCUGUCGUCAGCUCGUAUCGUGAGAUGUCGGGUUAAGUCCCUUAACGAGCGCAACCCUUAUCCUCAGUUGCCAUCAUUCAGUUGGGCACUCUGUGGAGACUGCCGGUGUUAAACCGGAGGAAGGUGGGGAUGACGUCAAGUCCUCAUGGCCUUUAUUAUCUAGGGCUACACACGUGCUACAAUGGCCGGUACAGAGAGAUGCCAACUCGCGAGAGGGAGCUAAUCUCAGAAAGCCGGUCUCAGUUCGGAUUGAAGUCUGCAACUCGACUUCAUGAAGCUGGAAUCGCUAGUAAUCGCGGAUCAGAACGCCGCGGUGAAUACGUUCCCGGGCCUUGUACACACCGCCCGU